AUCUAGCUGACGAGUCCGAAAUAGGACGAAACGUACAUCCUGGAU
rnacentral:hammerhead_ribozyme from 1 species